UCAAACUUGGUCAUUUAGAGGAAGUAAAAGUCGUAACAAGGUUUCCGUAGGUGAACCUGCGGAAGGAUCAUUAAUGAAAUCGCUAAGAGGUUGUUGCUGGUCCUUGCGGGCAUGUGCACACCUUUUAUCUUUAUCUUCCACCUUGUGCACCUUUGUAGGCUUAGUCCUAUGAUUUUAACACACGCAUAUAAUGUACAUUAGAGAUGGUUGGCUUAAUAAAAAUACAACUUUCAACAAUGGAUCUCUUGGUUCUCGCAUCGAUGAAGAACGCAGC
rnacentral:misc_RNA from 1 species